UCUUACAUUUGUUUAGAUACAGAUGUAUCUAACACUAAAAUGUAACUAGAUACAUCCGUAUUUAGACAAAUUUAAGACAAGAAUUUUGGGACGGAGGGAGUACAAA
rnacentral:pre_miRNA from 1 species